AAAUGUUUGCAACUUAUAUAUUUGAUUAGAAAUCUGUAUCCAAAAUGCACAAAUAAAUUUUACAGCUCAACAGUAAAAAGGAAAAAUACAUAAAAAUAGGCAAAAUAUUUAAAUAGACAUUUUUGUGAAGAAGAUAUAAGAGUGUCCAAUAAGCGCAUGAAGAAAAAGCCUAACAUCACAAGCCAUCAAGAAAACGCAAAAUCAAAACCACAAGCAGAUAUCACUUAACACCCACUAGUGUACCUACAAUAAAAAAUGACAAAUGGUUGGGUGCGGUGGCUCACGCCUGUAAUCCCAGCACUUUGGGAGGCUGAGGUGGGUGGAUCACGAGGUCAAGGAGGAGAUAGAAAUAAAAUAUAUAAGUACUUUUGGGAUAUAAAGAACUGCAUAUUUUAAAAAUCACUAAUUCAUACACUGAACAAAUAUAUAUUGUUUGCCUACCUCGUGGAAGGCAUUAUACUAAGCUCUGCAGAUUAAACAGAAAAAAACAAAAACCUCUGCCUUUGUUUAACUUAAAAUGUACUAAAAGACGAAGCCCCAGAAAAGUGACAGUUAUAAAUUCAGAUAGAUACUGUAAGAAAACAGAUUGCUAAGAAUUAGAUCUAUACUAGGCUCAUGGAAAAUUCCCCCGAGGAACGUAUAGCUACACUGAGGAAUGAAGAAUGAAAAGGAAGCAGUUGAGCAAACAGGGAAGGAAAGCAUUUUAGCCAGUCUGUGGCAUGUGCUGAAACUCUAGUGUAGUCUGCCUCUAGCCAAGGGAGAGCAACAGGUAUGAUUUUUCUUCAUAGCUAAAAUAACUAGCAUCAAAACACACAAAAUACAGUAAACAAUUUUUCAGACACUGGACAUUAGGCAAAGAGAUAAUAAUCCCUGAAAAAGAGAAAAAAAAAAAAAACACGAAAGAAAGCAAACCUUAUGAAUGUUUCAGCUUCCUGCCUUGACAGAGAUUCCGAGACAUGACACAGGAAGAAAAAACUGAGGUGGGAUCUACCAGACUCUCUUGGUUACAUUGAUGAAGCUUAGAGUCUGGUAAAACCAAAGCAGACAGAUAUUACAGAACAAACACUGAGGAGGAGAGAGAGAUACAGAAUCAAUGGCAAGAAACCCCCUGUCAAUAUUUAGCAAAAUUUUGGAAAUUGCAUGUGAGCUAGAAAACUACCUAAGAACAAACCAGGUGGGGGUGGGGGGUGGCCUAUAAAAUUAUAGGAAAUCACAACUGGUGCUCACACAGCGCCAAGAAGAGCAUCUAUUUUUAUAGAUUUGCCUGGGAAAACUGAGACUUCACAGGAGAAUGAAUACUCAGAAAGGCCUUGCCUCAGGUAUGGGGAGUUAGCUCAUACCAUAAAAAGAAAAAUGAAAGGGAUCAAGCUCUUUAUAAGUAACUCAACUCUAUUCUACCAUAAAAUUCAAGAAGAUAAGUAAAGCAGUAGAAGAUACUUUUAAAAAUCAAAUUGCACUUGUAGAGAUACAAGUUACAAUGCUGGAGAUGAAAGCUGCACUGAGUAGAUAUGAGCAUAGAUUAAUUCGCCAUCAUGAAAUAAAAGAGUCACAAAUUUGAGACACUAGUGAACUAUGAGCAAACUUCCAGCAGGUAAUAUAUAAGUCCCCAAAGAGGUAGGAGGAGAGGCAGAAUAAAAAACUUGAGAAAAAAAUUGGCUAAAUAUGUUUUAAACUUAACGACAGCCAUAAUCCCACAGAUCUAGGCUGGGAUCUGGCUGAUAGAAAAGAAAUGAAAAUAUGGUUGUAAUUUCUUAUACCGUCUAUGAUAUGAUAUAAUAUUACUUGAAGGUGGAUUGUGAUGAGGUAAAUUCAUACACUAUAAAUCCCAAAGCAACUACUAGGACAGCAAAGAGUUAUACCUAAUACCAAAUAAACUUAUACCAAAAAAGAUAUGACUAAAUCAUAAAGAAAUGUAACACUAGAUUAAUAACUAAAAAAGUUAUGCAUGUACAGAUAUGUAACUAAAUCAUAAAAAUUACUAAACUAGUCUGAAGGAAGCAGAAAAAGGAAAAAAGCAAAGCAAAGAAGAUCUGGGACUAAUAGAAAUCAAACAGUGUGAUGACAGACAACUCUAAUCAUAUCAAUAAUUACAUUAUAAAUUAAACUGCUCUAAAAACCUCUACUCAAAGGCAGAUUGUCAGAAUGGAUAAAAAAGCAAGUCUUACCUGUAUAAUGCAUAUAAGAAAUAAACUUUAAAUAUAAAGACAAAAAUUAGUUAAAAGAUGAAACAAGAUAUACCACACUAACACUUGACAAAAGAAGGCUGAGGAAGAGUGGUUGUAUUAAUACCAAAGUACAUUUCAUAGCAAAAAUAUUACCAGCAAUAUACAAUGUCAUUUUAUAGUGACAAAGGGUUCGAUUAAUCAAGAAAACAUAACAGUCCUAAAUAUUUAUGUACAUAAUAACAUAAAUGCUUCAAAAUACAUGAUACAAAAAUUGACAGAACUGCAAAAGAAAUAGACAAAUUCCCAAGUAUAGUGGAGGCAGAAAAUUCUGGAAAAAUGUUGGCAUGUGUACUCACCAGUCUAGACAUUUUCCC
rnacentral:lncRNA from 10 species